AAGACUUUAAGUUAACUAAACUAAAAACCUUCAAAGUUUUCAAUAGAGCAUUCUAAGUCUUG
rnacentral:tRNA from 1 species